AAGAUGUAAAACGUCAGUGGACAGACAAAUGGAACAUGAAGUUUGAGGUCACUUAAAUCUGUGUUCCUCACCAUGGCCACUCAUAUUUGGCUCCAGGAUACACUACCUCCUAGCCCCUUAGAGUUUUCUGUACUUUUAAAUGAACAUUAGAAGAUCCUCCUCCCUCUCCUCCUUUAUGCUUCAUUAUUCUCUUUUGGAAAAAGGCUGCCAUGUUCCUGGUAUAGCCAACACCCCUGCACUUUAACCCAGAAUGUUUCCACUGCCCGGUGAGCAUGCUGUCUUCUAGCUUCAGACUCUUGAUCUUCCCCUAUGGAUUAAUUUGAACAAUUAUGCACUGCCUAGUUUUAUGUCAGCUUGACCCAAGCUAGAGUCAUUUGGGAAGAGAGAACCUCAAGUGAGAAGAUAUCCCCACCAGGUUGGUUUGCGGGCAAGCCUGUGGGCAUUUGCUUGAUUGAUGAUUGAUGUGAGAGUUCUCAGCUCUCUGUGGAUAGUGUACCCCUGGGUCCUGAGUGCUAUAAGAAAACCAAGACAGAAGGAAAGGCCAUCCAGAGACUGCCUCGCCUGGAAAUCUAUCCCAUAUACAGCCACCUAACCCAGACACUAUUGCUGAUGCCAAGAAGUGCAGGCUGACAGGAGCCUGAUAUAGCUGUUUCCUGAGAGGCUCUGCCAAAGCCUGACAAAUACAGAGGUGGAUGCUUGCAGCCAACCACUGGACUGAGAAUGGGGUUCCAAAUGGAGGAAUAAUUAAUGAAAGGACUGAGGUAAAAGGUUUGUAACUCCAUACGAAGAACAACAAUAUCAACCAACCAGACACCCUGUAGCUCCCAGGCACUAAACCACCAACCGAAGAGUACACAGGGAGGGAUCCAUGGCUCCAUCCACAUGCAUACAUAGCAGAGGAUGGCCUUGUUGGGCAUCAGUUGGAGGAGAGGCCCUUGGUCCCGUGAAGGCUUGAUGCCUCAGUGUAGGGAAAUGCCAGGGUGGGGAGGUGGGAGUGGGAGGAUGGGUGGGAAACCCCUUACAGAAGCAAGGAGAGAGAAGAUGGGAUGGGGGUUUCCAGAGGGGAAACUGGGAAAAAGGAUUACAUUUGAAAUGUAAAUAAAGAAAAUAUCCAAUAAAAAAAGAAGAGAGAAAAAAAAGAACAAAUAUCAUUAUAUCAUUUAAUAAACACUUAAACAGGAAAAAAAAAAACAGCCUGAGCAAGCCAGCAAAGAUCUUCCGUGGCUUCUGUAUCAGUUCUUAACUCUAGCUCCCUGCCUAGAUUACCUGGAUGACGGACUAUAAAUUGAAAGAUGAAGUAAACCCUUUCCUCUUCAGGUUGCUCUUGGUCUUGGUGUUUUAUCCAGGCAAUAGAAACCCAAUUAAGUCACAUUACUUGUCCUAAUCAGCAGUUUGGUGGCUACACCCAUCCUGUUCUAAAUCUCUUCCACUUGUUUAAAGGUAGCAGGCAUCUGAUUAGUUGUUUCUUUUAAGUGAUUACUUAGCUUCAUUUUCUGUUUUACUCCAAAGUCUAAACUCAACAGUUCAAAGGCAAGGUCAUGCCUCCAAGCCCUAGGAUCUGGCAGUUGUUAGCACAGAAACAUACAGGGCAUCUUGCUUCUUUCAUACUCCUUCUUGAGCAUCUUUCUGGCCAGUUCUAUCUCUGGCAACUUGCUGGUUUUGGUCUGCAUCUCUUUUACAACAUCCAUUUGUAACCAUUUUUCCUCCUUUAACUACUUUCUUGCUUCACUAGGGGUUGCUGUUCUGAGUGCUGCCUUGCUUCUGGGAGACUAGAAGGUGAAUGUUCCUCACAGUGCACCAGAAACUAUCCCUAAAGAAGCAAUUUAUAACCCAGCCCAGCUGCAACACCUAUGAACCACAGCAGUCACCAGCAUGGGGAGAUAACUGGAAAGUUGCACCCGCAUAUAGAUGGUAACCUACAGCUGUCUAAUUGGACUCGAGACCCAUUCAACAGGAGACGAAAUAAUGCCUUGUACUAUAAAUCCAAUCAAAUUCCUAGGGCUACUGAAGUCAUGGGCCUUAAAAAAGUGCUUGCUAGGGGGCUGGGGAUUUAGCUCAGUGGUAGAGCGCUUACCUAGGAAGCGCAAGGCCCUGGGUUCGGUCCCCAGCUCCGAAAAAAAGAACAAAAAAAAAAAAGUGCUUGCUAACAUCACUCUACUAGACCAGCAUGUAAUUCCGUACUAUAGUACUAUAUGUACACAGAUAGUGGGCAUGAGAAUAGCUAAUACAUUUUACAUAAAAGCAUCUCUUCUCUUCUCAGCAAAUAGAGACUACCACAGAAAACUGCAAUGGACACAGUGCAGAGAUCAAUGGAGCAGGAGGAGCAGAGGCCCAGCAGAUUCAGCUCUUGAAUCUGUGACUCAGGAAAUAUAUCAUAAGGGAGGUCAGAAAGAUUGUCAGAGCCAGGAUCGUGAAAGUCUUAGGUUAAACAGUCUCCUCUAGAAAUGACUGCAUGAGCAAAACUGGGACAAUAGAUCUAUCAAACUACAGGGAAGGGUAUAAAUGUCAUAGGUCCCAUUCCUAGACAAAGAACUAAAGAGAACUGAUGACUCCCUAGAGAGGAGAAUUAGCUUCUCUCAGAGAUGAGUACUUUUAUGACUUAUCUCAUACAAAGUGGUCAGCCCUGAAACUAUAUACACAUAAAUAACAAAAAGAGAUUCAGCAGGGUGAAUUUAUAUGCUUGUGCACAUAUAAAUACAUAUAUAGAUAUGUAACUAAUAAAGAAAAGAGGCACUUAAUUUGAGGAUUUGGGCUGGAGUUAAUGAAAAGGGUUGAAACGAGGGUACCUGGGAGAGGCUAGAGAGAUAGAAAGGGAAGGAGGAAAGUGGUAUAGUUCUAUUUUAAUUAAAAUGUAUAAAAAUUAAGCAACGAAAUUAAAUGCAAUGUUUGAGUUCUGCUUUGCAUCUGCCUCUCACAACAGGGGGCCAUCUGGUCUACUCUUGUACAUGUUCUGUACUCAGGAACCCUUUAUAAAUAUUGCCAAGCCUAAAGUCAACAGUGAACUUCAAAUAUGUAUCCCUUUUCAAAAUACCUGCCUUCCAAAUUAUCGUCUUAAAAUGAAGAUGUAUUGUGGUUCCUCUUUUAGAUGUUUUCUCCUCCCCAACUAGAUCCUCUAUUCACAAAAUCUGUCAUGUUAUUUCAACCCAAAGUUCCCCUCUUUCUCUUUCUUCCCUCAUUCUGCCUCUCUCUCUCAUUCUUUCUUUCUUUCUUUCUUUCUUUCUUUCUUUCUUUCUUUCUUUCUUUCUUUCUUCCUUCCCUUUUCUUUCUUCUUUCCUACCCUAUUUUCCUUCCUUCCUUUUAGACAAUUGAACUCUCAACUCUGUCAUCAUGCUAAGUGUUAAUAUUAACCAUGUCACUCUUCUUGGUUAUAUUUUGUUUUUUAUAUUUAUUUCAUCACUUUUAUUUAUUUAUUAAUUGGUGCUACUCUGAGAACAGGGAGCACAUCUUUUUAUCAAUUGCCAUGUGGCAAAUAUCAGUGCCUUGAACAGAAUAGAUAAAUGUGUAAUUUAAUAUAAGCUGAAUGCAAUUAUUUGCACAUGUUCUUGGGUAGACAGAUAGAAUUUCACAUCUGACCUCAGACUACAAUCUUUUAACUAACUUCCAAGUUUCCAUACUUUCAAUCUUCAUAUUGCUGUCCUGAGUUAUUUCCAUAAACUUUAGUUAAGUUUGGUGCCUAAUGCUCUCAUGAGAAAAUUUUAACCUUGAAUAUUCAAGGCCCUCCACUUUCUGUACUACCCUUUGCACCCUACUCUUAACAUUGUGUGCUGGCCAUGCUGGGUCAUGGAUCCCCAGGCCUUCCUUUAUUGUGCUGUGGCCUUAUACUACCUCUUUUAUCCUGUAGGUCACAGCAGAACUUCUAGGCUGUUAUCAUCAUAUUAAGUAACUCCAGGCUGCUCUUCAGCUAAGAAUUACUAAAGAUUACGGAAGACUCACUAACAAAAGGGAUUACAUACGUCAUAAAGCCUCUGAGCCAGACCUGUCAAAGUGUGCCUUUUGGUGAUGGCAAUGCUCUAUAUAGCUUAGACCAAUCCCUCAGAUGCAAUUUCAGAUCAAUCUAGGGAAACAGUGCUUGGCAUACGGCAGGUUUCUCAUCUCCUCAUUUUCUAGAUUCGCAGUGUUUUUACUGUGAUAACCCUCCUUCUAACAGAAGUUCCCAGCCCCUGCCUUUGAUUACUCUCUGGACUCAAAUGAUGGAAUACUACAAUGAAACGACACAAAAGCACUACAAGAGUCUUUCCCAUUAAAUUUUGGGUAAUUUCACUGAAAGUUAAUUGUUGUCUUGCUCGCUCUGCUCACAUGACAAUAAAAACAACUCUGGCUAUAUUAACUUCAUUGUGACUUGUGAAAUGACUGUAUUUUGAAAAAUCUUUGGCAUUAGAAUACAUUCACAAUGAAGAAUUAUCAAAAUGAAUGGACUGUCUGUCCCGAGUGUUUGAACUGUGGGAAACUGGAACAGUAAGUUAAACUUAUUUGUGGAGGUAUGUGGUUUCUAAUCUGAAAUCUGUUUCAGUUUGUUCCACACAAGAGGCCAUGGAAAAUACCAUCUCAAUAAAGUGUAUGCUUUCCAAAGCUCUGCAAGUCAAAACGUUUGAUUUAUUUAUUAUUUUUGUUACUGGCUUUUUCUUUCUACCAAAGGUCAAAUGCCAUGGGGAAUAUGUCUAGUUAAACAUAUUUAUUGAUUGAUUGUCAAAUGAAAAAGUUCUGGAAAUACUUACAUUCCCAUUCGAGACUGGACUUUUCAAAACUUGCACUUUAAAAAAAGCUGGGUAUAGUCAAAUAUGCCUGUAGGCCUACCUACCUCAGAGCCUGACACAGGAGAAUCAUUUAAGCCUAGGAAUUUUGGACUAGCUUGGA